CAAUCUCAAAACCCAACAAAGGAAAAGCAGGAGACAAUUCAUUACAGGAAACACCAGAUGUAGAUAUGAAAUGAUUAUUAAAAUUCUAUUUCCCAUUUGAGGUAGGGGAAGAACACUCGCACACUAACUCGGUUUCCACUUCCCGGAGGUGGAAGUUCCGGUGGCAGCCGCAGGCGGCGCAGGUGAGUGCACUGCUGGUUCCCUCUUCACCGCUCGCCAUGAACUCUCUGCACCCAUCAACAGCAUACCCUCCAACACCCGCAGCGUGAUUCUUCUGACACUCUCCAUACCUCACACUCCUCACUGUGAAAGAUGAAUUAGCUGAGCUUCUUGAUGGCUCAUCUCUCCUAAGCACAACUUGACGCUUCCUC
rnacentral:lncRNA from 1 species